UACGAGAGGCCCAAACGUUAUUCGGAAUUACUGGGCUUAAAGAGUGCGUAGGCGGCCUUGCAAGUCGGGUGUGAAAGCCCUCGGCUCAACCGAGGAAUUGCGCUCUAAACUGCAGUGCUUGAGGAACCUAGAGGUGAGCAGAACAGAUGGUGGAGCGGUGAAAUGCGUUGAUAUCAUCUGGAAUACCGGAGGCGAAGGCGGCUCACUGGGUGUUUUCUGACGCUGAGGAACGAAAGCCAGGGUAGCGAACGGG
rnacentral:rRNA from 1 species